UGGUUGGCAAAACAACGCCACCUGCUGGAGGGAGACAGAUUUUCCACCGAGGGGACCAAAAACAUUCACGAUGCCACUCCACUUGUGUCAAGGGAAGAGUAGAAUACUUUUAAAGAAAAGAAGAGAUUGAUUAAAUAUUGUUCUUGAAAUAUUUUAUUCACAAUAGUCCUAUGGUAAUCGAUGGCUUUCAUAAUGGCGACCGGUCUUAUUCAUAUGACCCAAGAUGUGAACACAAUAGAUGGUUGAUGGCUUCAAGGAUCCACCUACACCCAAAUACCCGAGUCAGGUCCGAAUACAGAAUUAUAAAUAAUGUCACGGGUCUGGGUCGAAUCUGAUUUUCACGAGUCUCGGGAGAGUGGAACAUGGCGCAUGUAGCUUGUUGGUCAUAAGUCAUCAAAGCAGGAAUACCACAGUUUGAGUCAUAAUACCCGUAAACCACGGAAAUGGUUCCAAUCGUUUUUUCACCAUUCAUUUUUCGGUAGGGGUCAAGGGAAGAUAAUUUAACGUUGGCGAUUAUCGUCUGACUACACGAACGAUGAGCUAACGUUUAACUAGCGAGCUAAACUUUAGAUAAAUAUCCAUGCCCUGAUGGACUAACAUUGCCAAGUACAUCACCACGUGGAAAAGUGACUAACUUACACGAACGAUGGGCAGACCGGAAACCCAGUGACAACACUCAGGUCUGUAGCUGCCAUUUUCCGGUGGGAAAGAGAAAUGGCCCUGUAUUUACCAGAAACGGUAGCUCAUCCACCAUGGCUGAAGAGGAAGAUCCAGAUGGUUGAUUGGGAAACAAGAAACAACAAUGAGGCAUGAGGAUUGGUUGUUGAGGGACUGCUUGUCACAUUGUCCACGUCCAACAGGAGUGCAUCUCUCAGACCAUCUGGGGCAUGGACAUCCUGUACCAGUCUGAUCCGAGCAGGAGUAUCCAUUUGUACAGCACAUCGAGCCUGUGGACGUACAGACAUGAGGUGUGACAUGUGGAACAUCAGGCACACCCCACGACAAGCAGUGCAUGAUCAACACCACUCUCAGCAAGGAGAUCUGCUGGAAGUGAUGUGCUCUCUCACUCUCACUCAUAAUUUUAACAUCACAAAUAUAAAUUCCCACUGAGCCCAUGAUAAAAUGCAAUGUGAAUUGUGUCGUACUUCUGAAUGAAACUGUGAGGAGAUGCACUCAGACCAGCCUUUGUGAUUGAACGUAUGUUAACCUCUUUACUUUAGUUGGCUGCUUUGAGCAAAACUUAAAUGUAAUAUAGCCUAUUCUAGGAGCCUAUUGUUUGUGUAUGAUCUUUAUUCACUGUUCACUUGUUUUUCAACAAUAUCAAGUAUGGGCAGGGACGACUGGGGCCUUCAGCAAGUAAGACACGGGAUAAGAAAUCAUUUCAACAUCACAGAUAUAAAUUCCCACUGUGCCCAUAAUAAAGUUAACUACAUUACUUUAGUUGUCUGCUUUGAGCAAAACUUGUAUGUAAUAUAACCUAUUCUGGGAGGUGUGUGUGUGUGUGUGAACUAUAUGGACUAUUUCUGGACCUUUUGGCUUCUCUGAAAACAGGUACAAUGUGAGUGAGGUCGUCUUGCUGGAUGGUGUUGGAGGCUUUGGUGGUCCACACAACGAAGAAGCAGGUGUUCCUUCCUGUGAUGUGGAGCUGACCUUUGACCUGGUGCCAGUGAGGGAGGUCUUCCCUCCUUGAUUUAAAAAUCCUCAGACUUCACUGCCUCUUCAAUGGUAAGGUCCCUUGCACCAUAGGGACACUUGAUCUACACCACUGCUGUGGUACACCAGUAGGCGCCCAAGAGCCCCCGACCAAAGCCCUGACUCCUGCACAUCCAUCCCUAUAGUCAUUUUGAAUAUCUGGAUGCCCUCCUCUUCAUUAUCUGCCCCACUUUAGAGACAGUACCCCAUCCAAUGAUUGAUCUGAGAACCCUUUGUAGCAGCGAUGUAGUAACGCGCUUGGCCUAACCACUGUUCCAUAAUUGCUGGCUGUCAACUUCCCUCCUCAUGGUGUGCCAGUUGGGGUUGGUGCGCGAUCCAACUGUUGCUUGCCGUAUAGCCUCCUGCUGCUACACCGACAGCGCCAUGCCAGCCAGGAUGCUUGCAUGCCCUUGUUUUUUUGUUUUUUUUAAACAAUGUCCAGUACGGACAGGGAUCACAGGGAGGGUAGCGGUUGUUCUGGCUCAGGUUCAAGGAGACAUGCUAUUCCACUGAACCUGCCACGAAGAUGGUUCCUUAGCCAUUGAAGAUCCUCCUCGGUGGGCUCUCGGGACAGAGGGUUGUAGUCUUCGACUGGGUACAGGUCCUCCACUGACUGUACCUGGUUGGGCACGGCUGUCUUCCUCCACUCGCAUUCCACGUCCGUACGGCCAAUAUUGUGAACCGCCAAAAUUGGCUGCAUCGCUACACUUACGAGCUCCACGGAGGCGUUUGCAUGUGGUAGAGAGAGUGCCCUGGUCACUUAUAGAGACCUGCCAAGAUGAAGGAUGUUAAGUGCCACACGCCUUUCAAUACAUGACUUUAAACACCUUGAAAUGCAUUCGUUGUAAGAAAUGUGAUAUAUAAAUAGUUUGAUUUGAUUAAUGACAUUACAGCUGUAAAAUAUUUAAUAAACUGUAAUUGCAGUGCAGGUUUUCCAUAAACCUUUAAUUGAUAACUUGGGAUUUUAUCAUUUGACAUCAAUCAUAUAGUGGGAAGGAUCCUAUAAAUCUAGACUGUAUGAACGCAUGUAUCACUCUGAAUAAAUAAAUACUGUGCCUUUGAA